CCUCUAACGUUUUGCAGGAUUUAUCUUGGUCUUUCCUGAUAUUCUCUGCAUGUGUGCAACACAGUCAAGAGCGACAUUUCAUUGAAAACAAGCUACGUGUCCCACAGGUGAUCUGAGGAUGAAGAUAGUGAUCUUAUGUGUUUUGGUCAUUUUGUUCUGUUCAAGAACGAAGGAGAUGCCUAUGCAUAAAAGAAGACAACAUGGACGAAUUUUGUAUAAGAGAGAAAGUGGGCCAAACAUAAUCCAAAACCUAAAAAGGCAUUCGGAUGGAACAUUCACCAGCGACUUCAUCAACAACCUUGACAGGAUGAAGGCUAAAGAUUUUGUGGAGUGGCUGGCCAUCACCAAGGAGGCGGGAUGUCAUGAGAACCUGCUCCAAAUUCCAACAGAAGCAUGAGACGACAAAAGAAGACUCCUCCUCUGAAGUAGAUUAACAAAAUAGUAAUGUUCAUUUCAAAUUUGCUAAUGUAUUGUCAAAUAAAAUUUGG